rnacentral:lncRNA from 1 species
GGGCAAAUGGGAUUUUGAAAGCUAAGAUAGCAAAAAUAUGUGCAUCAUCGAACCUUAACUGGUUGGAUGCCUUACCCAUAGCACUGAUGCAUAUGAGAUCUCAAAAGAAUAGAAUCACACAUCUCACACCACAUGAGAUGCUCACAGGACGGGUCAUGCCAACACCCCGGAGCAGGGGAGACGAUAAGGGCCCGUCCCUGGAACAACUUCAAAGAGAAAUUAGAAGCUAUGUACAACAAUUGUCACUAAUCCAUAAGACCAUUUAUACACAGGCAAAAAGACAAGAACCAGUGAACAACCCUCAGGCGGACACAGGAGGACCGGUUAAACCUGGAGACUGGGUCUUUGUGAAAAAGUUCAAGCGAAAAAGUCUCCAGCCAAGGAGAGAGGGACCUUACCGGGUGACACAGGUUACUCCAACAGCGGUAAGAGUACAAGGAUCAAGUGUGUGGCACCAUCUUAACUUCUGUUACAGAGCUAUAGCACCGGAGGAGAGCCAAACAGAUGUGGUCCAGCGCAAUGGACAGGAGCAGCACGAAGGAGAUACAGGAGGUGCUGCCCGGGCAGGACGAGAGAGAGGGGAGGCUACUGCUACAGGACAGCUUCGAACCAGUGGAACAGGAGAAAGUGAGAGUUCGAGUUCUCCUGGACAAGGACUACGGGAUGAAAUGGUGGAGGAACGGGUUUCUGGUAGGGUCAAUAAUAGGGAUCUUAAUAUGUUUGAUGAUAGUGUGCCUGUCAUUCCCUCAACGCAAGACGACCUUGUGGGAGGAAAGGCCACCCAUCAGGAAGACCAGACCGAGCAACAAGGUGCUUCGGGUCCCCAGCAUCCAUGGCAAUUACUCAGGCCCCUGGACCCCGCAGCCCUCCAUGAGCACCCGGAACGAGCAGUCAAGUAUCAGUAUGACCCCUUACCCUUCUUUCAGAGUCCCGUUCACCAUCAUGGUGCCCAGGAAUGAGGUCCAAUUAACUGGGCCAGACACAAUCCCGAUUCCCGCACUUGUGGAAGUCCUGGAUGAUGGUGCUGGUGAGAUCCAGGCCACCGCCCCCACUGAGGUCCAGGCUAAGGUGAAGGACCAACUAGAAAGUCUGGAUGAGGAUAAAGUUCCCAGAAAACGGAGAGCAGCAGAGGGGGGUGGAUCCGUGAGUAUGAGAAGUCCUCUAAAGAAAUGGAAGGGUAGUAAUGAAGCCGAAAAAAUCAUAGCCAGAGGUAACAACCUCUGGUAUAAGUGGGCAAGAUAUA